rnacentral:misc_RNA from 1 species
GAUGAAGAACGCAGCGAAAUGCGAUAAGUAAUGUGAAUUGCAGAAUUCCGUGAAUCAUCGAAUCUUUGAACGCACAUUGCGCCCCCUGGUAUUCCGGGGGGCAUGCCUGUCCGAGCGUCAUUGCAACCUUCAAGCGCGGCUUGUGUGUUGGGUCUCGUCCCCCGUGGACGGGCCCGAAAGGCAGUGGCGGCGUCCCGACAUGGUGCCCGAGCGUAUGGGAAUCCUCUUCCGCUCGAAUCGGCCCAUGCGGCGCUGGUCGUAACCAAAUUUUUUACCGGUUGACCUCGGAUCAGGUAGGGAUACCCGCUGAACUUAAGCAUAUCAAAAGCGGAGGA